AGGUUAAGUGAAUAAGGGCGCACGGAGGAUGCCUUGGCACUAGGAGUCGAAGAAGGACGCGACAAACGGCGAAACGCCUCGGGGAGCUGUAAGUGAGCUUUGAUCCGGGGAUAUCCGAAUGGGGAAACCCGCUAGUGGUUAUACGCUAGCACCAUAUGGUGAAUACAUAGCCAUAUAGGAGACAGACCCAGGGAACUGAAACAUCUAAGUACCUGGAGGAAAAGAAAGAAAAAUCGAUUCCCGUAGUAGCGGCGAGCGAAGUGGGAAGAGCCCAAACCGGCACUAGCCGGGGUUGUAGGACCUUCAUAAUUGACAAAUCAUGAUAGCCGAGUGGUCUGGGAAGGCCAACCGGAGAGGGUGAGAGUCCCGUAGGUGAAAUUGUGAAAUGCAUGGAAGGAAUCCUGAGUACGGCGGGACACGUGGAAUCCCGUCGGAAUCAACGAGGACCAUCUCGUAAGGCUAAAUACUACCUAGUGACCGAUAGUGAACCAGUACCGUGAGGGAAAGGUGAAAAGAACCCCGGAAGGGGAGUGAAAGAGAACCUGAAACCGUGUGCCUACAAAUAGUCAGAGCCCGUUAAUGGGUGAUGGCGUGCCUUUUGUAGAAUGAACCGGCGAGUUACGAUAUCGUGCGAGGUUAAGCAGAAGAUGCGGAGCCGUAGCGAAAGCGAGUCUGAAUAGGGCGAAGAGUACGAUGUUGUAGACCCGAAACCGUGUGAGCUAGCCAUGAGCAGGCUGAAGGUCAGGUAACACUGACUGGAGGGCCGAACCAGGGCACGUUGAAAAGUGCUUGGAUGACUUGUGGCUAGGGGUGAAAUUCCAAUCGAACACGGAUAUAGCUGGUUCUCUCCGAAAUAGCUUUAGGGCUAGCCUCGAUGGCAAGUCUACUGGAGGUAGAGCACUGAAUGGGUGAUGGCCCCACCUCGGGGUACUGAUCUCAAUCAAACUCCGAAUGCCAGAUAGAUAUCAUCGGGAGUCAGACUGUGGGUGAUAAGGUCCAUGGUCAAAAGGGAAAGAGCCCAGACCGCCAGCUAAGGCCCCCAAGUGUCCGUUAAGUGGAAAAGGAUGUGGAGAUGCACAGACAACUAGGAGGUUGGCUUAGAAGCAGCCAUCCUUUAAAGAGUGCGUAAUAGCUCACUAGUCGAGUGACUCUGCGCCGAAAAUGUACCGGGGCUAAACGGACCGCCGAAGCUGCGGAUUGACACUUAGGUGUCAGUGGUAGGAGAGCGUUCUAACAGCGGAGAAGCAGUACCGGAAGGAGCUGUGGAGCGGUUAGAAGUGAGAAUGCCGGUGUGAGUAGCGAAAGAUAGGUGAGAAUCCUAUCCAUCGAAAGCCUAAGGUUUCCAGGGGAAGGCUCGUCCGCCCUGGGUAAGUCGGGACCUAAGGUGAGGCCGAAAGGCGUAGCCGAUGGACAACAGGUUGAUAUUCCUGUACCACUUAUUAAACUGAUGGAGUGACGGAGAAGGCUAAGUUGAGCGUGUUAAUGGAUUCACGUGUAAGCAGUGAGGUGGUCAUGUAGGCAAAUCCGCAUGGCAUAACAUUGAGCUGUGAUGCCGAAGCCGUAUGGCGAAGUCAACUGAUGUCACGCUUCCAAGAAAAGCUUCUAGGGUUAAUUUAGUAAGUGCCCGUACCGAUAACCGACACAGGUAGGCGAGGAGAGAAUCCUAAGAUGAGCGAGAGAACUCUUGUUAAGGAACUCGGCAAAAUGACCCCGUAACUUCGGGAGAAGGGGUGCUUGUGAAAGCAAGCCGCAGUGAAUAGGCCCAGGCGACUGUUUAUCAAAAACACAGGUCUCUGCUAAACCGCAAGGUGAUGUAUAGGGGCUGACGCCUGCCCGGUGCUGGAAGGUUAAGAGGAGAGGUUAGCGCAAGCGAAGCUUUGAAUUGAAGCCCCAGUAAACGGCGGCCGUAACUAUAACGGUCCUAAGGUAGCGAAAUUCCUUGUCGGGUAAGUUCCGACC
rnacentral:rRNA from 1 species